UACGGGGGGGGCAAGCGUUGUUCGGAAUUACUGGGCGUAAAGGGCGCGUAGGCGGUUGGAUAAGUCAGCUGUGAAAACCACGGGCUUAACUCGUGGCCUGCAGUUGAGACUGUCUGGCUUGAGUGUGGGAGAGGAGAGUGGAAUUCCUGGUGUAGCGGUGAAAUGCGUAGAUAUCAGGAGGAACACCAAUGGCGAAGGCAGCUCGCUGGGACGUGACUGACGCUGAGACGCGAAAGCGUGGGGAGCAAACAGG
rnacentral:rRNA from 1 species